UAAUACGUAGGAUGCAAGCGUUGUCCGGAUUUAUUGGGCGUAAAGCGAACGUAGGCGGCUUCUUAAGUUUGGUCUUAAAGACCGGGGCUCAACCCCGGGAAUGGACUGAAUACUGGGAGGCUAGAGGAUGUCAGAGGAAAGUGGAAUUCCUAGUGUAGCGGUGAAAUGCGUAGAUAUUAGGAGGAACACCAGUGGCGAAAGCGACUUUCUGGGACAUUUCUGACGCUGAGGUUCGAAAGCUCGGGGAGCAAACAGGAUUAGAUACCCUGGUAGUCCGAGCCGUAAACGAUGGAUACUAGGUGUUGAGGGUAUCAACUCCUUCAGUGCCGUAGCUAACGCGUUAAGUAUCCCGCCUGGGGAGUACGGUCGCAAGACUG
rnacentral:rRNA from 1 species